rnacentral:rRNA from 1 species
GUGUCAGCCGCCGCGGUAAUACAGAGGGUGCGAGCGUUGUUCGGAAUUACUGGGCGUAAAGCGCGCGCAGGCGGCUCUUUAAGUCUGCCGGUCAAAUGCCGGGGCUCAACCCCGAGCUCGCCGGAGAUACUGGAGAGCUGGAGACACGUAGAGGCAAGCGGAAUUCCGGGUGUAGCGGUGGAAUGCGUAGAGAUCCGGAAGAACACCGGAGGCGAAGGCGGCUUGCUGGGCGUGAUCUGACGCUGAGGCGCGAAAGCGUGGGGAGCAAACAGGAUUAGAAACCCUUGUAGUCC